GUUACAGUGAAUUAAGGAAUUAUAAACCUAGGAUGACUGGCCCUUUAAACAAGCAGUGAAGGAAGAGCCAGAAAGCUUGGCUUCUUGUUUCAUGGGAUGAUAGCCAAGAUUUCAACUAUUCAGCAUUUCUGAACAUUUUCAUAGAUCAUACAGGCUCCUGAGGCAAGCGAAACGUUUUACAAAACUCUUGGGCUUUUGAUGGAACUACAAAGUGUGACUAAUAGGAAUGACUUGUGAAGAAAGAAUAAACACCUGGGUCCUUUUGAAGAAAUCGAAGGCCUCUGAACGCAACAAUGUCAAAUUUUC
rnacentral:lncRNA from 11 species